rnacentral:rRNA from 1 species
CAAUAGCGUAUAUUAACGUUGUUGCAGUUAAAAAGCUCGUAGUUGGAUUUCUGGAGGGAGCGUCGGCCCGUAUUUACGAGUGCGUGACGUCUCUGUCCAUCCUUGCGGGAAGGCACGGCAUUGAUUUGUUGUGUCGGAUCGCAUCAUUUACUGUGAAAAAAUUAGAGUGUUCAAAGCAGGCUUUCGCUUGAAUACAUUAGCAUGGAAUAAUAAGAUAGGACUUUGGUCUAUUUUGUUGGUUGCGGCCCAAGGUAAUGAUUAAUAGGGAUGAUUGGGGACAUUCAUAUUGAGGUGGAAGAGGUGAAAUUCUUGGAUUUCCUCAAGAUGAACUGCUGCGAAAGCGUCUGUCUAGGGCGUUUNCAUUAA